GAAACGAGCACACUAAAGAGUGACAGGAGUAACUAAAGAUUUUUGGGAUAGUACAUAAUUAUACAGAAAAUUUGGAGUUUUCUCAUGGGGCCUAGGCAAAUUGGCAGUGUACUCUUUUUUAGCUGUCUUGAAGCUUUCCUAGCCUUAAUCAAACCUUUAAACGGACAAAAAGAUUAUCUGAAAUUUGUGAAUCAUCUUUCAUUUAGAGCAAAACAAAACUUCUAUGCUGUGCUAUCCAGUAUCCACAACAAUGCUCAGUUCAGAGACUCGAUUACGAGUUGGUACUUGGUGGUGUGAUGAUUUCCCGCCAAGCGAGCUUGAAGAUUUGCCUCUUGUUGAAGAUGAUGAAUACUGUAAUUCACAACAAUUUUGUUAUCAUCACGAUCACUAUCACUAUCGUCAUCUGCAUGCUCAAAAGAUAACACUCCGAAGAAUUCAAUCAGUUUAUGAAUUUCAUCAGAUUGGGGGCUUUCUAUCAUGAUGACUGCCCUAUGCACGCACUUGGAAGAAGAUUAUCUUAAAAGGAAAGACUAGUCACAUAUCGCUUGUUGGGAUCGAAGAUUGGAGCUGCUGGCGCAAGAUGGGCCAAUUGAUGCUGCAAGCACACCUACUUCUCCGGAUUACAUGGUGUGGUUCCUCUCCAUCGCUCGCCGAUAGAUUACACGACAAGGCACAAGAUGUCACAUCUGUGAUUAGCUCCAGCUCUUCAUUCCCGAAGUGGCUGCGCCAGAGACCUCAAGGGACGUGCAGAGGGAAUCUCCUCCUCACAACGACAUAUAUUUGGAGGAGGUCGAACUGACGUACCCCCAGGAUGUUGUGGGGUCCUUAUAGGGUGCGGAAUCAUCGCAAGGUGUGGGAUCAUACCAGUACCAAUCCCCUCCCCUCCUCGAGCGCCAUAUGACCGCCUUUUACUAUCGUAAGAGGUGGUCUAGACCAUCACAUCUAGACUUCUAGAGAGGGUGCAAAAGGAGGAUGAGCAUUAGUGUAUUGUUUGUAAUAUAUCGAACAUUUGUGUAUAUUAAACAUUUGUAAUAUUUUGACAUUUGUAUAUAGUUUGUAAUAUAUAUGUAAAUGAAUAUAUGUUUAUCUAUCGUGUUUAGCAUAUGUUUAUUACGAAUUGAAUGUUAUUGCUCGGAGAUUUCGGCGAUGAUUUAUUCCGCCUUGAAUCAUGCAUUGAGCUAUAAUCACUCCGUUUAUCUUAGAAUGAUGUAUACAAUUAAUCUAUA